UUUAAAUUUGUUUUCGUGUUUUAGAGACAGAGUGAGCUUGCUGGUUUAGUAAUAAGAUGCUUAUUAGUUUACCCUUAAGUCUCGUGUUUGAGUCUUUGUGGGAGUUAGAGGAGGUUAAUUUUUUUUCUUUCUCCCAAUUUUUCAGACAUUUAUUUUUGGUUACCUGUUCUCCUUUUGCCAUCGUUUCUAUUUUUAUUCCUUUCUUUGAUUCACCAUUUCUUUAGUUUACCCAUUUUAUUUGUUUCAAUAUAAUUGCUGAUUGUCGUUUCAUUGGAGUUCAUUCGUUUUCCUUUUUUUUUCACUGUUGACAUCAAAGUUUUAUGGAAUUAGUAUUGUGGUGGCAAAUCGAUCGUUUGUUGGCGUUUGGGAGGACGUUAAUAGUCGUAAUUGCGGAUGGAUAUUGUGGUUUAAUUUCGUGUUUUGUAGCAAGGGUUGGUGUGGUCCUAUGUUUGCAGAUUUUUCAACUUUUUACAGUUUGUAACCCUCGUAUUUAGGUGUUGGACUCGGCAUAUCGGAGGUCUCAGAAUUUUUUUUCAAUUCGGUUUGGUUUUUAAUAAAGUUUUUUGUAAGCUUUGAUAAAUUGUUUUCAUACAGACUUUAAAUAAAUUUUAUGGGCUGUGGUGUAAGUUUCA